rnacentral:rRNA from 1 species
GAUGAACGCUGGCGGCGUGCUUAACACAUGCAAGUCGAACGGAAAGGCCCUGCUUGCAGGGUACUCGAGUGGCGAACGGGUGAGUAACACGUGGGUGAUCUGCCCUGCACUUCGGGAUAAGCCUGGGAAACUGGGUCUAAUACCGGAUAGGAGCCAUUUUUAGUGUGAUGGUUGGAAAGUUUUUUCGGUGUAGGAUGAGCUCGCGGCCCAUCAGCUUGUUGGUGGGGUAAUGGCCUACCAAGGCGGCGACGGGUAGCCGGCCUGAGAGGGUGGACGGCCACAUUGGGACUGAGAUACGGCCCAGACUCCUACGGGAGGCAGCAGUGGGGAAUAUUGCACAAUGGGCGCAAGCCUGAUGCAGCGACGCCGCGUGGGGGAUGACGGCCUUCGGGUUGUAAACUCCUUUCGCUAGGGACGAAGCUUUUUGUGACGGUACCUAGAUAAGAAGCACCGGCUAACUACGUG